UUGCCUGAUUCCAGGCUGAGGUAGUAGUUUGUACAGUUUGAGGGUCUAUGAUACCACCCGGUACAGGAGAUAACUGUACAGGCCACUGCCUUGCCUGGGACAG
rnacentral:pre_miRNA from 1 species